ACCUGGGUGGCUCAGUCGGUUGGGUGUCUGACUUCAACUCAGGUCAUAAUCUCUCAUCGUGGGUUCGAGCCCCUCGUCGGGCU
rnacentral:tRNA from 1 species